UGUAUUCUUUUUCAUUUGAGGGUGGGUGAAGAACUCAUUGUAUUUUUGUGAUGAAGCUUUGUUUCUAUUUUCAAAGUGAUUAGCUUAUGAUAGAUGUAUAGGGACUUGCUGUAGCAACAUGUAAACAAAUGUCGCAGCAGUAAGCCGUGUAAGUGUAUAUCUGAAAGUCUCUAGAUGAGAGCCAAGAGGUAGUAGUUGUAUCACACUUGAAUUGUGUAUAGACUACGUAUGCGACUCUCUCCGAUCUCAAAGCUACCAACAUGUAUAAAGUACAUCCUGUCUGUAACGAAACAGAUAUUGAGAAACUAAUCCACCAGAGACGAUCGUAUCUAUGGAUGCAGGCUAUUUCUUGAGAACUAUAUUUGUCAUUUUGAACUGCCAUGUUAUCAACAGAUAAAGGAAGGACUUGACCUACUUCUAUGGUUAAUAGGUGUUUUAGAUGUCUGUGAUUUUCUAUUAUUCUUUCAGCCAUGUGCAGCUUUAAGAAAGAAGCAAUACAUAUUUUUAUGAACCUCAGUCCUUAUUCAUAGUUGCAAUUAUGUUACAGUUUCCUCUUAAGACUAGAAAAAGAUCUCCAUUGACCAGAUUUAUGCUAAAGUGAUGUUGAAGUUGUAUCCCAAGUUUAAUGACAUUCUUCUGAAAAAAAUUGACCAGCUUUUUCAGGAAAGCACUAUCAUGUUAGUUGUUCAAUUAAUGAUGUGAAAAAAAAAAAAAAUCAUAUUCGACUGACUUUCUAUGCCAGUAACAAGUAAAAGGUCAUGGAAAGAUAAAACUAGAUAAAUGUAAUUAGUGAGCGAAGUGAGUUAGUUUUAUGUUUUUAUAGACACCAAACUGUUGGAAAAGUAGCUGCUUAUGAGAAUUUAGAGGUUACUGAAUGAGUUUAGAUGAUUAAUAUAUACUAUAAGGUGGAAAGGUAAGAGAUAUACUAUUGAGUGUAUGCUGUUAAAGUCUGCAGCUCUUCUAAAAAUCGAGUCUGCAAUAAAUUUUGUGCUGCUUAAUAAUAAUGAAUGAACUAUUUUCCUCUUCCCAUAAAAUUUGAAUGGUCUGAUGAGCUAUUUCUCAGAUCUUGAGUAAGAGUAAACAAUUUCUUAGACACUUGAUUGAAAAAUAGACCGAGUGGUUCAAUAUGUGCUGCUUUACACGAGAGUCCUGGUGUAUGUGCUCAUGCCUUAUGAAAGCACUUGAUUGUGUUUUGAACUUUAAAAUCAUAUAAGAAUCUAUAUAGGGGUUGCAGUAAUUCGGGUCACUAGCAAUCUGACCAUGUGGUUUGCAGUUUGUAUCAGUAAAACCAUGUGUGUAUUCUUUGGUUUUGCUUCUGUUGUUCAAAUUCAGAUGGAUGUUUAUGGGCGGAGAAAAUGACGAUACUAGAUCUUUUUGGUCAAGUGUUGAAGCCAUGGAAGCUGAGAAGAUCUACAAACUUUUGUUCUUUUCAUCUGCAGGUCUUUCAUUUAUUCACUGGUAAUUCGUAAGUGCUCUUGUUUUGGGAAUUUUAUAUGUUUCCCUUCCUCUUUUUUUCCUCUAUGCCUUUUUCAUUUUUUGAUUCAUUUUAUCCUUUCUUCAUGAGGUCCUAUACUUCUGUUUUUGUAGUUUUUACUGUAGUUUGGAUCAGUAAUCAAGAAAAGAUGUAUUAUAUGAAUUUGAAGAUCUUGGGGGUACCUAUUGGUUUCAAUGUAUUACUUUCUGAUGAGACCUUACAUCCCCUUCAUUGUAUCAUAUUUUUCUGUUAUUUCUUUGCUCUUUUUGCU